CCUACGGGAGGCAGCAGUGGGGAAUAUUGCACAAUGGGGGAAACCCUGAUGCAGCGACGCCGCGUGAGUGAAGAAGUACUUCGGUAUGUAAAGCCCUAUCAGCAGGGAAGAAAAUGACGGUUCCUGAGUAAGAAGCCCCCGCGAACCACGUGCCAGCAGCCGCGGUAAUACGUAGGGGGCAAGCGUUAUCCGGAUUUACUGGGUGUAAAGGGAGCGUAGACGGCAGGGCAAGUCUGGGGUGAACGGCCGGGGCCCAACCCCCGGACUGCACGUGGAACUGUACGGCUGGAGUGCAGGAGAGGUAGGCGGAAUUCCUGGUGUAGCGGUGAAAUGCGUAGAUAUCAGGAGGAACACCAGUGGCGAAGGCGGCUUACUGGACUGUGACUGACGUUGAGGCUCGAAAGCGUGGGGAGCGAACAGGAUUAGAUACCCUUGUAGUC
rnacentral:rRNA from 1 species